UCCUUCUCAUUCAAGCCUAACCAAUGUCUUCUUCUUCCUCCUCUUUUCUUCUUCUUUUCAUCUUCAAACUCAAGAAAAACCGAAGCUUUCUCUCCACUUCUUCAAGCUGUGCGACCCCAAGGAAAGAAAGAGAUUGUUUUCUCCUUUCCCAAGCCUUGCCAUACACUCAUUCCAUACCUAUUUUUGAGUUUGUUUAUAGCUUGAAAUUCAAAGUUUGUUUUCAUCUUCUAAGAGGUGAAAAUUGAAGACAAGAGGCUUUUGAUUUAUUCCUUAGUAUGAUUUGUACGUGGGUUUUGAAUUUUAUGGCUUAUCUCACAAAUAUAUUUCGGUUUUGAGUUUCCAGCCAAGGGUUAAUGUUUCCUCUAGUGCACUAAGCUGAAAUCACCUCUCCUCUUCAUCAUUCUUGUGUUUUGGGAAGGAUUCACCAAAGGACCUAUAUUGAUGUUGGAAGUAUUGAGGAGCAUAGAGGUAAUGACGAAGAGGUUAGGGAGCAAGGCAUUACUGCAAAGGGAGAGACAGACCCUUAGUGUGUCUUCCCUAUUGGUUCAACCUUACAUGGAUGAUGGGUUAUGUUUAUGGAUGUUGUUUUUAUGUUGGGAUGGGUCCCUUGUCGGGACGUUUUGUUGGGUUUGAUUUUAAACCAUAUAUCUUUUGGUAUGGUGUAACCAUUAUGGUGGGGUGAUGGUAAACCCUUAUAUAUUGGCUUAGUGCCUUCUUGUAUGUAUGGUAGAGAUGGAGUGCCUUCCUAACUAGAAUCGUUAUGUUUUUAUGAAAGUAUGACGAACUCUGACAGUCUGU